rnacentral:rRNA from 1 species
AACGAACGCUGGCGGCAUGCCUAACACAUGCAAGUCGAACGAGACCUUCGGGUCUAGUGGCGCACGGGUGCGUAACGCGUGGGAAUCUGCCCUUAGGUUCGGAAUAACUCCCCGAAAGGGGUGCUAAUACCGGAUAAUGUCUUCGGACCAAAGAUUUAUCGCCGUUGGAUGGGCCCGCGUUGGAUUAGCUAGUUGGUAGGGUAAAAGCCUACCAAGGCGACGAUCCAUAGCUGGUCUGAGAGGAUGAUCAGCCACACUGGGACUGAGACACGGCCCAGACUCCUACAGGAGGCAGCAGUGGGGAAUAUUGGACAGUGGGCGAAGGCCUGAUCCAGCAAUGCCGCGUGAGUGAUGAAGGCCUUAGGGUUAUAAAGCUCUUUUACCCGGGAUGAUAAUGACAGUACCGGAAGAAUAAGCUCCGGCUAACUCCGUG